GAAGCAAAGCCGCGAGGUAGAGCAAAUCUCAAAAAAACAAUCUCAGUUCAGACUGCAGGCUGCAACUCGCCUGCACGAAGUCGGAAUUGCUAGUAAUCGUAGGUCAGCAUACUACGGUGAAUACGUUCCCGGGCCUUGUACACACCGCCCGUCAAACCAUGAGAGUUGGCAACACCCGAAGUCGGUAGUCUAACCUAUAUGGAGGACGCGGCCGAAGGUGGGUUUGGUAAUUGGGGUGAAGUCGUAACAAGGUAAC
rnacentral:rRNA from 1 species